GAGGCGGGAGGAUGGCUUGAGUCCAGGAGUUUGAAGUGGCAGUAAGCUGUGAUCAUACCACUGCACUCCAGCCUGGGCAACAGAGCGAGA
rnacentral:miRNA from 1 species